rnacentral:rRNA from 16 species
GGAUGCGAUCAUACCAGCACUAAAGCACCGGAUCCCAUCAGAACUUCGAAGUUAAGCGUGCUUGGGCGAGAGUAGUAAUAGGAUGGGUGACCUCCUGGGAAGUCCUCGUGUUGCAUUCC